CAAAGGUAGCAUAAUCAUUAGGGGUUUAAUUGGAAUCUAGAAUGAAGGGUUGGAUGAAAGAAAAACUGUCUUUUUUACAUAAAUUGAAAUUUACUUUUAAGUGAAAAGGCUUAAAUAAAUCAAAGGGACGAUAAGACCCUAUAAAGCUUUAUAAUUAAUUUAAAUUUAAUUAAUUUAAAGAAAUAAAAGUUAAAUUUAAUUAUAUUAUUUUAUUGGGGUGAUAUGAGUAUAAUUAAUAUUAACUGCUUAGAUAAAGAUUCUGUUAUUAAAGUGUUACAAUAUAAUGAUCCUAUUUAUAGAUUAGAAGAUCAAGUUACUUUAGGGAUAACAGCGUUAUUUUUUUUGAGAGUUCAUAUCGAAAAAAGAGAUUGCGACCUCGAUGUUGAAUUAAAAUAUCUGUAUAAUGCAGCCGUUAUAGAAGAGGGUCUGUUCGACCUUUAAAAUUUUACAUGAUUUGAGUUCA
rnacentral:rRNA from 1 species